rnacentral:rRNA from 1 species
GACGAACGCUGGCGGCGUGCUUAACACAUGCAAGUCGAACGGAAAGGCCCUGCUUUUGUGGGGUGCUCGAGUGGCGAACGGGUGAGUAACACGUGAGUAACCUGCCCUUGACUUUGGGAUAACUUCAGGAAACUGGGGCUAAUACCGGAUAGGAGCUCCUGCUGCAUGGUGGGGGUUGGAAAGUUUCGGCGGUUGGGGAUGGACUCGCGGCUUAUCAGCUUGUUGGUGGGGUAGUGGCUUACCAAGGCUUUGAGAGGUAGCCGGCCUGGGAGGGUGAGCGGCCACAUUGGAACUGAGAUGCGGCCCAGACUCCUACGGGAGGCAGCGGAGGGGAAUAUUGCACUAUGGGCGGAAGCCUGAUGCAACAACGCCGCGUGCGGGAUGACGGCCAGCGGGUUGUAAACCGCUUUCGCCUGUGACGAAGCGUGAGUGACGGUAAUGGGUAAAGAAGCACCGGCUAACUACGUG